GACCACUGUAUGGCCACCCAUACACACACACACACCCCUUAACAAUACACUACAGCAAUCGACCAUCGAAUGUCCACUCACAUGCUCACACACUAUCCUUACCGACACCACAGAGCACACACUCCUUCAAAAUUCGAUGAUACCCCUACAAUGUUUUACCUAUUUCACCCUUACCUCCCGUCAUCACUCACAUUCCCUCCAAUCACUCCCCCCCCCCCCCCCCAAAACCCGACUCAAACUCUCCUACUCCUGAAGUACCUGCAACAUUACUUAUUUUCUCUCCCCUUCCUCUCCGUAGCGAUCCGAAAUGUCAGAAAUCAAGACGAAUUGCCAUAACUAGGUUUGAAAUUCAAAAUUUCCUUACCUCUUGCUUCCAUAUUUCUCAAUCUCAAUAAAAUCCUCUUCAAUCCUCCUUCUCCUAAGGUUUUCAGUCACUCGUUCGCCCUAAUCUCCUCCCUCUUCUUCUCAGUCUCCUGCUCUUUUCCCUUCCCUUCCUCUUUUUUUUUUUUUUAUUUUCCCUCUUACUUUUACUCCUUUUUUUCUUUUUUUUCUUUUUCUGCAUUUUUUUUGUCCUUUUUUUCAGCCCCGACU
rnacentral:lncRNA from 1 species